rnacentral:lncRNA from 1 species
UUUAAUCAUGCUAUUAAUUAAUUCCAAACAGAUAAUGCAUAAGAUUACUCGACUUCAAAAAAAAAAAAAAAAAGAUUACUCGACUUCUGGAAUGACACAAGGCAUGGAAUAGUAAGCUAUGUUACGGUGAGACUCUCUUCUUCCUGGAUCUUGUGGAUCUGUUAUAUCAGAAGGUCAGUAGCAGUGCUAUUUCUAUUGGAGAAUUUUCAUUUAAACAGAUUAACAUAUUUGAAAAAUUUCUUUCAAUAAUGACACAAAACAUAAAUAUAAAAAUCUGUAUUUAUUAUAGGUAGCAUAAAACAUUUUUUUGCGUCAAUUAUUGUUGUGAUUUAGGCUGAAUAAUGCCAGCUAUUUUGCUACUGUGCUGAAGUCCUCUUUUUUGAGCCUACAAUGAACCUGUAAUACUUAUGGAAAGAGUUACCAUAGCAACCUAUAUUGAUGUCACAAGCUCAGGCUUCUGACUUCAUUGCAUAAUGCAGUAGCAACUGGAUUUGCAGCAGAAACACCCUGCUAAAGAACAAGUAUCUUGGUUCACAGCAAAGAGGACAAAGGAAAACAGCAAGUUAUAGGGAGUUGAAUGCUGGAUUGUCAUCAGAGCCUGUGUGGCACUGCCCACAAGUCCUUGGUGGGUUCUGGAGCUGUCCAAGGUUCCAAAGUUCCAGGGAGGGAGCCUGCAGCAGUCAGAGGGCUCUGGGCUCUGCUUCAACUCAGUACUGUGAGAGAAGGGAUGUGAUCCUGAGAAUACUGUAAUGUGGAAACCCUGAGUUCAUGAUUUCCACUCAUCUGCCUUCUGGGGACGCUGAUAAAUGGAGCUGGGUAAGGAAGCUAGGGAGUUCCUGUAAAUAUGAUAGCAAACCCCUGUCCACUUCCAUACCAGAUACAGAGAGCUCUUAUAGGUAAACUAAAGAGGACUAAGGGAAAGCAAAGUAACACUAAACUAGACUUAGAUUAUCUAUUCAGUGACAACAUUCUGUGGUAGAAUGUGGUCUAUGUAGGAAGAACUCAAAGAACAUGGAGCCAACAGGCCUUCUCUUCCUUGAAAUAUAGACAAAUGUGUAUCUCCUAGCCACUGUGAGGGGGAGAAUAGAUGGAAGGUGAAGACUAAAUGGGAAAGGGUAUGGGAAAGCUAAAGGAAGGACAUGGAAUCACUGCAGAUUUAUAAAGAUGUAGCUUUUUUGAAAAAAUAAAUAAAGACGUAGCUUUUAUUCCCUGCUUUAUUCAAAACAAAAAUUAUAUAACAAACUUUAAUUCUGCUGGAGGCUGAAGUAAAUCAAUUUGCAACAUCAAACUUUCUCCCCCUUGGCCUGCCUGGUUUUCAGUCCUCACAGAUUAGGAGUUAUUCUGGGUGUUCCGUCACUCAGCCCUGUAUCUGAGGCUCGAGAAUCAUUUCACACUUCGACAGCUCUUUAAAUGAAGCAUCAAGUUACCUCAUAAUUGACUUGUCUCCACUGUGUGCUUCAACACACAAAAUUCCAGCCAAAUUAAAGUACAACAGAUGGGAAAAGUCACUUGGGAAGAAACACUAAUGAAAUAGUUUUACUUUCUCUUUGAAAGCUGGGAUAAUAUACUGAUUUCAAAUAACUCAGUUUGCAUUUCAAAUCCCUGGGGUUUGGAACACAGGUAUGUGGAUUAAAAAUCCAAGCAGCAGGUAAUGCUUCUUCUGAGCAUUUAAGGAGAUGUCCCCAUUUAGAAAGUUCUUUAUCAUGGCCAUCGUGCAACAUCACCUCUGUCCUAGGUACUGAGCUCUUGCUUGGGCAUUGCACCAUUCACUGCUUGUGAGAGCAGCUGACGCCACCAGUAUCAACCUAGUACUCAUCAACCCUGUUCCUACACAGGAACAGAGCAAGAAAAACAUGACUAUUCUAAGCAGAUCCCAAGCCCCAAAUUCUCAAGCACAUAGCUUUUUGCUGUAGUAUAAUGUCACAUCGAGAAUCUUAACAUUGGUACAAUCAACCAGUCUUACUCAGAUUUCCAUAGUUUUAUUUGUAUUCCUUUGCAUGCAUGUGGUUUGGUUUUGUACAGUUUUACCAUCUGUGUAGGUGUGUGUACCUACAACCAGUGUCAAGGUGCCAGGCCCUUCCAAUAUGACAAGGGUACUUUGUG